rnacentral:tRNA from 1 species
GGGGGUAUAACUCAAUUGGCAGAGUGUGUGCUUUGCAAGCACAAAGUUGAGGGUUCAAAUCCCUCUAUCUCCA